ensembl:miRNA
AAUUAUAUUUGAAUUUCAAAUAAACAGCAAAUAUCUUAUAUGCAAAUCUUAAUGUAACAUUUGGGACAUGCUUAUACUAAAAACAUAUUUGCUAUUUACCUAAAAUUCAAAUAUAACUAGGUUUCCUUU